rnacentral:lncRNA from 1 species
CAGAUUUUUAUCUUUUCAGAUACUUUUCAGAUUUGAUCCUCAUAAUCAGGUAAAUGCAUGGAGGAAAAAACAAUUUAAAAUAACUUGAUGAGUUAUCAUGAAACAGCAGAAUUCAAGAGCAGGAAAAGAGGCAACGUGCUUCAGACGAACAGAUUAUAGACAUUCAGAGAACCAGUGAGAAACUGUGGGAGACUGUUCUGAACUACUUUGAGAGGGAAAGAAGAUAUUUUUAUUUGUGUAGAUAAUCAAAAUAUGUUCUAAUCAGCUAGAUCAAUGUGACAUUCUCAAACUCUUGAAAAGGCUAGAAAGAGUUACUAUUUUUAAAAAGAAAUAGAAGAGAUGGUAUAAAGUUAUAAACCAAACAGUUAAUUUCAAUUCCUGCCAACAUAGUGGAGAUAAAUAGUUAGCAUAUUUUGUUGUGAACAUUUAGAAAGUAGCAUAUGAAGAAGAAGGAGUUGUCAAUAAAAAUCACAUCAAACCAAAAUCCAUUCUGUUAAGGGACAAUAUAGCUGUAGAAAAGCAGUUAAUGC